GGUCUUAUGGGGUAGCGGUCAUCCCCCGAGAUUCUGAUAUGGAACUUCUCGUGACCCCGGUUCGAUUCCGGGUAAGACCU